AUCCAGCUGACGAGUCUCAAAUAGGACUAUAUGACCAUCCUGGAC
rnacentral:hammerhead_ribozyme from 1 species